rnacentral:rRNA from 1 species
GACGAACGCUGGCGGCGUGCUUAACACAUGCAAGUCGAACGAAGUGGCGAACGGGUGAGUAAUGCGUAAUCAACCUGCCCUUCAGAGGGGGACAACAGUUGGAAACGACUGCUAAUACCGCAUACUGAAGGAGGGGAUUGCGACUGAUGAGCUGGUAGGAGGGGUAACGGCCCACCAAGGCGAUGAUCAGUAGCCGGUCUGAUAGGAUGAACGACCACAUUGGUACUGGAGAACGGCCCAGAAUCCUACGGGAGGGAGCAGUGGGGGAUCGUCCGCAAUGGACGAAAGUCUGACGGAGCAACGCCGCGUGAGUGAUGACGGGCUUCGGGUUGUAAAGCUCUUUUAAUCGGGACGCGGUACCGGAAUAGAAAGCCACGGCUAACUACGUGCCAGCAGCCGCGGUAAUAC